GACGAACGCUGGCGGCGUGCUUAACACAUGCAAGUCGAACGGAAAGGCCCUGCUUUUGUGGGGUGCUCGAGUGGCGAACGGGUGAGUAACACGUGAGUAACCUGCCCUUGACUUUGGGAUAACUUCAGGAAACUGGGGCUAAUACCGGAUAGGAGCUCCUGCUGCAUGGUGGGGGUUGGAAAGUUUCGGCGGUUGGGGAUGGACUCGCGGCUUAUCAGCUUGUUGGUGGGGUAGUGGCUUACCAAGGCUUUGACGGGUAGCCGGCCUGAGAGGGUGACCGGCCACAUUGGGACUGAGAUACGGCCCAGACUCCUACGGGAGGCAGCAGUGGGGAAUAUUGCACAAUGGGCGGAAGCCUGAUGCAGCAACGCCGCGUGCGGGAUGACGGCCUUCGGGUUGUAAACCGCUUUCGCCUGUGACGAAGCGUGAGUGACGGUAAUGGGUAAAGAAGCACCGGCUAACUACGUGCCAGCAGCCGCGGUGAUACGUAGGGUGCGAGCGUUGUCCGGAUUUAUUGGGCGUAAAGGGCUCGUAGGUGGUUGAUCGCGUCGGAAGUGUAAUCUUGGGGCUUAACCCUGAGCGUGCUUUCGAUACGGGUUGACUUGAGGAAGGUAGGGGAGAAUGGAAUUCCUGGUGGAGCGGUGGAAUGCGCAGAUAUCAGGAGGAACACCAGUGGCGAAGGCGGUCCUCUGGGCCUUUCCUGACGCUGAGGAGCGAAAGCGUGGGGAGCGAACAGGCUUAGAUACCCUGGUAGUCCACGCUGUAAACGGUGGGUACUAGGUGUGGGGUCCAUUCCACGGGUUCCGUGCCGUAGCUAACGCUUUAAGUACCCCGCCUGGGGAGUACGGCCGCAAGGCUAAAACUCAAAGGAAUUGACGGGGCCCCGCACAAGCGGCGGAGCAUGCGGAUUAAUUCGAUGCAACGCGUAGAACCUUACCUGGGUUUGACAUGGAUCGGGAGUGCUCAGAGAUGGGUGUGCCUCUUUUGGGGUCGGUUCACAGGUGGUGCAUGGCUGUCGUCAGCUCGUGUCGUGAGAUGUUGGGUUAAGUCCCGCAACGAGCGCAACCCUUGUUCACUGUUGCCAGCACGUUAUGGUGGGGACUCAGUGGAGACCGCCGGGGUCAACUCGGAGGAAGGUGGGGAUGGCGUCAAGUCAUCAUGCCCCUUAUGUCCAGGGCUUCACGCAUGCUACAAUGGCUGGUACAGAGAGUGGCGAGCCUGUGAGGGUGAGCGAAUCUCGGAAAGCCGGUCUCAGUUCGGAUUGGGGUCUGCAACUCGACCUCAUGAAGUCGGAGUCGCUAGUAAUCGCAGAUCAGCAACGCUGCGGUGAAUACGUUCCCGGGGCU
rnacentral:rRNA from 1 species